GACGAACGCUGGCGGCGCGCUUAACACAUGCAAGUCGAGCGACGAAAGGUCCUUCGGGACCCUGAAAGCGGCGAACGGGUGAGUAACACGUGGGUAACCAACCCUCGGUUUCGGGAUAGC
rnacentral:rRNA from 1 species